rnacentral:RNase_P_RNA from 1 species
UGGGGUGGUCGGAUAGCCGCCCUGCACUGAAUAGUGCGGGGAGGAAAGUCCGGGCUUCACAGGGCAGGAUGCUUCCUAACAGGAAGGGAGAUUCCUGUUAGAUAGUUGCACCUUUUAAGGUGUUCUAUCAACAGGUGUCUUACGGAAAGUGCCACAGAAAAGAUACCGCCCGCCACUCUGUUUGGCGGGUAAGGGUGAAAAGGCGGGGUAAGAGCCCACCGCUUCAGUGGUGACACUGAAGGCCUGGCAAACCCCAUCCGAAGCAAGACCAAGCAGUCCUGUUUAGAGUUGCCCGCUCUGUCUGAUAAGGACACAGGACAGGUAGGUCGCUUGAGUCUGGUGGAGACAUCAGACCCAGAUAAAUGGCUAUCUAUGUCCACCACUCUUCUGGUGGACAAAAACAGAACCCGGCUUACGAACCACCCCGUUUU